GCUAAAUAAGUUAAGUAACUUCCUUAAUAUCACACUUGAAGUCUCCUGAAAGUUCACGCCUGAGAACACAGAAACGUACAGGAAAGAGCAUCACAACUCAACCGGUCCAUCAGACAAACCCCGAUUCAAAGCCGUUCUACAAAACAUCUGACCGGUAACUCUUCAAAAAUUUCCAGAUCAUGAAACACAAGGAAAGACUUAAGAACUGUCCCAGAUCCAAGGAGACUAAAGAGGCAUAACGCGUAAUCAGUGUGGUAUUCCGGAUUAGACACUGCAGCAGAAAAAGGACAUUGGUGGAAAAAUCGGUGAAAUCCAAAUGACUAUUUCUCAGUUUUGACAAAUGGACCGUGGUUAUGUAACAUGCUAAAAUUAGAGGAAGCUGAGUGAAAAGUAAAUGGGAACUCUCUUUGCAACUUUUCUGUGAAUCUAAAACUAUUCCCCGAUUAAAGGUUAUUUUUUUUAA